rnacentral:rRNA from 1 species
AUACGGAGGGGGCCAGCGUUGUUCGGAAUUAUUGGGCGUAAAGGGCGCGUAGGCGGCUAGGCAAGUCGGAGGUGAAAUCCCUCGGCUCAACCGAGGAACUGCCCCCGAAACUGCCUAGCUUGAGUCCCGGAGAGGGUAGCGGAAUUCCCAAUGUAGCGGUGAAAUGCGUAGAUAUUGGGAGGAACACCAGUGGCGAAGGCGGCUACCUGGACGGGUACUGACGCUGAGGCGCGAAAGCGUGGGGAGCAAACAGGAUUAGAUACCCCGGUAGUCC